CCCCAUGGAGCAGACACGGAUGUCUACACAAGCCUAAGAAGGGAUCUAAGAAGAGAUCUAUUGAGCCUGUGCCAUACCAGAAAGGCUUCCCGCCCAAAAGACGCAACCAUUCCUUUGUUCCGGUCUCAUCUUACCCGGCCACUGUAUCUUAUGAUCCUAACACAGUUGCAGAGCAAGUAACGA